rnacentral:lncRNA from 10 species
UUCGGAAUAGACUGAGACCCCAGAAGUCUCCCUGAGACCCAAUGUGUUCACCACCUUUGGACUUUGUUCAAGGUUCCAGAUAGAAAAUGAUAAUAAUCACAAAUAUUUACCUAGUAAUUACAUGUGCCAAACAAUGUACAUAAUGUUAACUAAUUUAAUCUUUACAACUUUAUUUCACAGAUAAGUAAACUGAGGCACAGAGAGAUUAAGAAACUUGAUCAAGGUCACACAACUAGAAUAUAGUGGUAUCAGCGUACAAACCCAGGCAGUUUCUGGUACAGGCAGCCCUUCUUCUAAUCUCUUCCCUACACUACCCCUUGUACAGUUGAGCUUGGUGAAUGGUUGCUUUCACAUGUUGUUAAAUGUCCAGUCCCAGUUAGAUACCCAUGCUCUCUUUGUGAAACCAGAUUAUUGGAAGCAAAUUAUAAUAUGUUUCCCAUAAAUAGAUCCCUCUUUCUUAUUGUGUUCAAUUUAUGCUACCAAUACUACUUUGCACUAAUUAGAGACACUGACUAGAAGCUGGUGAAACAGACAGGCCUAGAACAAAACAUCUGUUGACCCUAAAGAAAGGGUAGUAUCCAAGCAGAUCAUCAAGAAGCAAAUUUGCAGAAACGUUAAAACUAUUCUUGUGCUCACUUUGGCAGCACAUAUACUAAAAUUGGAAUGACACAAAGAAGAUUAGCAUGGCACCUGCACAAGGACGACUCUGUUAAAAAAAAAAUGUUAACCUUCUGAUU